CUCUGUACUCAACUGGACAGGGGAAAAAAAAACAAGGACCAGACAAAGCAAAAAAGGGCAUUUAAAGAGACAGCGCCGUGCAGAUGCAUAUUUGAUGGCCUGGCGCAGCAGGUAGGGGCGAACUCUAUGUCUGAGUUGGUCUUUGCUCAAGCAGUCCAGAAAUGGCUCAGAUAUGCUCCAGAUCGUACGGGUGGCGCGCAGGAAGCACAUCAUCCAUCCCCAUCCCGGAGUAAAUAAUAAAAAGUGACGUGAAACAUAGAAAUGUAAAUAGGAAACUUUGUCUUUUAAUAAAGUAUUUUGCAAAUGA